UAGCAGAUUGAGCUCAUCCUUUUACUGUAUCCUUUUCAGUUCAUUAAAUUGUAAACUGAGUUAAUAUAGAUUGCAUUUAUAUUUUUUUUUCUUUUCAAUUAGGUAUGGGAAUUGAUACAAUUUUUUAUUGUAUUUCCCAUUCUUUAUGAAAUGGUAUUGCUUUGCUUUGUGACUAGCAGAAAGACAAAAGAAAAGCAAUGAGGGUGGUACAGGUUUGCUAUGUGUUCAAGAUUAAUAUUCAAGACUGAAAGCAUGUAUGGCUGAGCUUAAAGGUUUACUUACUAUAGAACAUGAGAAGUUCUAAGAUGAGUAAUUUUUCUAUUGAAAAAAGUAGGAAUCGACUAAAUUACUUAUUUUGCUUUCAAAGUCCAUUCCUUUUAUAUAGAAUCCUCUAGUUUAAAGAAUGGGUAAUUAGCACAAAACGUCUUCACCUUAUAAUGUUAUAAUGCAAAAUGUUCAUAUCUUUCAUUUUUUGACACUUUUACCCUUACUUUCAUAUUUUAUUGCAGAAAUCAUCAUUUUUAUCAAAUUUCUCGUAUAAAAUGACAAAUAUACCCCCUAUUUGUAUAAAACCAUG
rnacentral:lncRNA from 1 species